rnacentral:rRNA from 1 species
AUUGAACGCUGGCGGCAGGCCUAACACAUGCAAGUCGAACGCGUGGCGGACGGGUGAGUAAUGUGCGGGAAACUGUCCCCUGGCGGGGGGUAACUACUGGAAACGGUAGUUAAUAUCGCAUACCAUCGGAUGUGUCCCGAUGGGAUUAGCUAGUAGGUGGGGUAACGGCUCACCAAGGGGACGAUCCCCAGCUGGUCUGAGAGGAUGACCAGCCACACUGGAACGGAGACACGGUCCAGACGCCUACGGGAGGCAGCAGUGGGGAAUAUUGCACAAUGGGCGCAAGCCUGAUGCAGCCAUGCCGCGGGUGUGAAGAAGGCCUUCGGGUUGUAAAGUACUUUCAGCGAGGAGGCGUUACUCGCAGAAGAAGCACCGGCUAACUCCGUGCCAGCAGCCGCGGUAAUUC